UCCCUGGUGGCCUAGUGGUUAAGCAUUCAGCAUUGUCACUGCUGUAGCUCAGGUUCAGUCCCUGGCCUGGGAA
rfam:Sus scrofa chromosome X.